CAGGUGAUCCAACCCAGUAUCACGCUAAAGCGUGUAAUAGACACGCUGGUCCACUAGAGGAUGCGUGUCAAUGUCACGCUUUGCCUCCUCCAGGCGUGAAAAUGACACGCAUUUAUGAGGAUGAUAACCAAUAGGGGGCGAUAAUUUCUUAUUGCCAACAACUUCAACAAGAGAAGCGACGCAGUGAUAUUGCGUUCUCUGGAGUUCCAUGGGUAAGGCUUUCUUGGAAAUUUGGUGAUUAAUGUUACUAAAAUUGAGUAAAUCCUGUGUUUAUGUUAAGUCUUUGUUGCAACGUCAGCAUUAUAAUAUCACCGCUAAGGCAACAGACAAGUCAGUGCACGCGUUUGGUCAGAAUCCAAUUGGCUCAUAUUUAGGACAUAAUUGUUUGUUCAGGUGCGGUCAUUUAAGAAAUCCUAAAGUUGGUGCAGCAUAACAUUUAAUUUGCGUGUGUGAACUAUGGAGUUAUCUAUAGUGGUUUUUACGUUACUAAGGUCAGAAACAUUAUUGGAUGACUGUUUGAUAAUCAGCUAAUGUAUUAAUCACAGAAAGCUGCAGUGACUGCAUUAUAUUAUGUUGCUAAACAGUUGUUCUAGCGUUUUUAAACCAGUAGUUUUAUUAAUUUCGCGCGGAAUGCAGUUCGUGAAAUAAGCUCUAAAUGAAAAAAUAACCGAUUUAAGUAAAUAAUUGUGUUCAUUGUAAAUCUGCUCAUCUAAACAUACAAGGCGGAACCAAUCGAUCACAGAGAGCGAUCGCUGCUGACACCGUCAGCAGCACUUACAUUCAGAUUACAAUAAUAUUUCUCAUUAUUACAUUCAGAUUACAAUAAUAUUUCACAUUAUAAGUGUUUUUAUAUCAAAUAAAUGCAGCCUUGGUGAGCAGAAUAAAUUUAUUUAAUUAUUUAAUAUUAUUUAUAUAAUAAGGCUAGUUUGUGCAGUUACAUUUGUCAAUUGAUCGUUAGAAGGGAUUAAAAUUGAUUGUGUUAUGUUCUGUAAUUGUUGUUAAUAAAUCUGUCAGAAGAAAGUGUGUAAAAGAUUGACUACAGUAACCAUAUCUAACCAAGCUUCAAGUACCAAGAUAAUUAUUUCAUUUAUUUCUCAUCAGAUCAACUGUUCAUUUAUGCAGUUUAUGCUUUAUUUAUAGGUAGCAUAACUGUUACCUUUUUGUUUACAGUUCUGCAUAUAUAAUAUGACAAACCUAGGAGACUUUGCUGUAAGAGAAUUAAUCAUGUUUUUGUUUUCUUUUCUCAGGUCCGGUCAGUACCCACCACCCUUCCCUGUUAACAUCACCCACAGUUUAUACUUUUUCUUAGAUAACCAACGGCUCUUUUAAGAGCCACUUCAAUAAUCAACUCACUCACUCACUCUCCUCAAAAAUGCCAGGCCAGGGGUCAACAACUAGAAAGUGUGUGGUCUGCCAUACACAACUAAAUGUUGCUUGCAAAACCUGCAACACAUGCAAGGUAGAGCAGCCACAUAAGCUUCGGGUAAAAAAGAACUGAAGAAAUUUGAUCAGAAGCGGGAGAGCUGGGUGCAUGAUGAAGAUAUGCUGGGCCUGGAAGAAAACCAAAUGCUUGGGGGUCUGAGGUUCUGACACCCCGUUGUCACUUGACUGAGACAUCCAUUACAUGCUUGGAAAGAUUAAAGAACCUAUUCAAGGCGGGACCUCACAAGGUGUUGCAGAACAAGUCAAUAAAACCUCAUCAGCCCGAGUUGAAUCCCCAACUGGACCACAAAUGGCCCAACCUGAUCUCCAGGUACCAGUGGCCCUGCCUCAUACCAAAGCAGCUCCAACUGGACCACCAGCAGCCCUUAUUGGACCACCAAAGUCCCCAAUUUGACAGCCAGUAUCCCUUUUAGGACCCUCAGGACACCAUGCAACCCCACUGCAGCAAUCUGGGAAAAGAAACCCAUUACCCAGAUGGACCCCCAAGAGCCUCCCCAGUUUCUCUUAAAAAAGAUGGUGUGAAAGAAGGCUUUCCAGCUCUGACUACAGUGCGGCCAGAUCAAAGGAAAGAUAAAAGAAGUGGCCAUUGGAGUGGGUGGCGGAUGGGGACACUUGUUAGUGCUUCGGCAUCUUCUUGGGGACCUGAUACAAUAAGAAGCACUAUUAUUUUCUCUGUGUAACUUGUUUUUCUUUUAUGUUUUAAACAAACCAUUGUUUCCUGGACCCUUUUAUUGCUCCUCCUUUCACUUGCUUUUUUGCUCUUUUUUGGAUAUUAAUACUGAAUACUGUUAAAACUGUUUUGCAACCAAAUUAUUGUCAAUUUAACUGUUUUAAUCGAUGUUAUAUCCUACUGUGAUGUAAUGAUGUUAAGUACAGUGAGUGUAUUUACUUUACUUUUUUCAAUAAACAUUGAGGAAUUCA